GACGAACGCUGGUGGCGUGCUUAACACAUGCAAGUCGAACGGAAAGGCCCUGCUUUUGUGGGGUGCUCGAGUGGCGAACGGGUGAGUAACACGUGAGUAACCUGCCCUUGACUUUGGGAUAACUUCAGGAAACUGGGGCUAAUACCGGAUAGGAGCUCCUGCUGCAUGGUGGGGGUUGGAAAGUUUCGGCGGUUGGGGAUGGACUCGCGGCUUAUCAGCUUGUUGGUGGGGUAGUGGCUUACCAAGGCUUUGGCGGGUAGCCGGCCUGAGAGGGUGACCGGCCACAUUGGGACUGAGAUACGGCCCAGACUCCUACGGGAGGCAGCAGUGGGGAAUAUUGCACAAUGGGCGGAAGCCUGAUGCAGCAACGCCGCGUGCGGGAUGACGGCCUUCGGGUUGUAAACCGCUUUCGCCUGUGACGAAGCGUGAGUGACGGUAAUGGGUAAAGAAGCACCGGCUAACUACGUG
rnacentral:rRNA from 1 species